GGGGAAUAUUGGACAAUGGGCGCAAGCCUGAUCCAGCCAUGCCGCGUGAGUGAUGAAGGCCCUAGGGUUGUAAAGCUCUUUUACCUGGGAAGAUAAUGACGGUACCAGGAGAAUAAGCCCCGGCUAACUUCGUGCCAGCAGCCGCGGUAAUACGAAGGGGGCUAGCGUUGUUCGGAAUCACUGGGCGUAAAGCGCACGUAGGCGGAUCUUUAAGUCAGGGGUGAAAUCCCGGGGCUCAACCUCGGAACUGCCUUUGAUACUGGGGAUCUCGAGUCCGGAAGAGGUAAGUGGAACUGCGAGUGUAGAGGUGAAAUUCGUAGAUAUUCGCAAGAACACCAGUGGCGAAGGCGGCUUACUGGUCCGGAACUGACGCUGAGGUGCGAAAGCGUGGGGAGCAAAC
rnacentral:rRNA from 1 species